ensembl:rRNA 5S_rRNA 5S ribosomal RNA
GCCUGUGGCCCGAUCAUCCUGAAUGGGCCUGAUCUUGUCUCAUCUCAGCAGCUAUGCAGGGUGGGACUUGGGUGGUCCUUGGAUGGGAGACUGCUUGAGAAUAUGGGUGCUGUUGACU